AGAGUUUGAUCCUGGCUCAGGACGAACGCUGGCGGCGCGCCUAACACAUGCAAGUCGAACGAGAGAUGAGGAGCUUGCUCUUCAAAUCGAGUGGCGAACGGGUGAGUAACGCGUGAGGAACCUGCCUCAAAGAGGGGGACAACAGUUGGAAACGACUGCUAAUACCGCAUAAGCCCACGGCUCGGCAUCGAGCAGAGGGAAAAGGAGUGAUCCGCUUUGAGAUGGCCUCGCGUCCGAUUAGCUGGUUGGUGAGGUAACGGCCCACCAAGGCGACGAUCGGUAGCCGGACUGAGAGGUUGAACGGCCACAUUGGGACUGAGACACGGCCCAGACUCCUACGGGAGGCAGCAGUGGGGAAUAUUGCACAAUGGGGGAAACCCUGAUGCAGCGACGCCGCGUGGAGGAAGAAGGUCUUCGGAUUGUAAACUCCUGUUGUUGAGGAAGAUAAUGACGGUACUCAACAAGGAAGUGACGGCUAACUACGUGCCAGCAGCCGCGGUAAAACGUAGGUCACAAGCGUUGUCCGGAAUUACUGGGUGUAAAGGGAGCGCAGGCGGGAGAACAAGUUGGAAGUGAAAUCCAUGGGCUCAACCCAUGAACUGCUUUCAAAACUGUUUUUCUUGAGUAGUGCAGAGGUAGGCGGAAUUCCCGGUGUAGCGGUGGAAUGCGUAGAUAUCGGGAGGAACACCAGUGGCGAAGGCGGCCUACUGGGCACCAACUGACGCUGAGGCUCGAAAGUGUGGGUAGCAAACAGGAUUAGAUACCCUGGUAGUCCACACCGUAAACGAUGAUUACUAGGUGUUGGAGGAUUGACCCCUUCAGUGCCGCAGUUAACACAAUAAGUAAUCCACCUGGGGAGUACGACCGCAAGGUUGAAACUCAAAGGAAUUGACGGGGGCCCGCAC
rnacentral:rRNA from 1 species